GAGUUUGAUCUUGGCUCAGAUUGAACGCUGGCGGCAUGCCUUACGCAUGCAAGUCGAACGGCAGCAUGAUCUAGCUUGCCAGACUUGAUGGGCGAGUGGCGAACGGGUGAGUAAUACAUCAGAACGUGCCCUGUAGUGGGGGAUAACUAGUCGAAAGAUUAGCUAAUACCGCAUACGACCUGAGGGUGAAAGUGGGGGACCGCAAGGCCUCAUGCUAUAGGAGCGGCCGAUGUCUGAUUAGCUAGUUGGUGGGGUAAAGGCCCACCAAGGCGACGAUCAGUAGCUGGUCUGAGAGGACGAUCAGCCACACUGGGACUGAGACACGGCCCAGACUCCUACGGGAGGCAGCAGUGGGGAAUUUUGGACAAUGGGCGAAAGCCUGAUCCAGCAAUGCCGCGUGUGUGAGAAGG
rnacentral:rRNA from 1 species